UACGGAGGAUCCGAGCGUUAUCCGGAUUUAUUGGGUUUAAAGGGUGCGCAGGCGGGAGAUUAAGUCGGCGGUGAAAUUUUGCAGCUCAACUGUAAAAGUGCCUUCGAUACUGGUUUCCUUGAGUGUGGAUGAAGUAGGCGGAAUUUGUGGUGUAGCGGUGAAAUGCUUAGAUAUCACGAGGAACUCCGAUUGCGCAGGCAGCUUACUAAACCACUACUGACGCUCAGGCACGAAGGCGUGGGGAGUCAAACAGGAUUAGAUACCCGGGUAGGUCCCU
rnacentral:rRNA from 1 species